GUUCUGGUUCAAGAUUAGCCCCCGUUCUGUUGUCAGGUU
rnacentral:misc_RNA from 1 species